AUGAACGCUAGCGACAGGCUUAACACAUGCAAGUCGAGGGGCAGCGGGGGAUAAGCUUGCUUUUCCUGCCGGCGACCGGCGCACGGGUGAGUAACACGUAUGCAACCUGCCCCUGUCAGAGGGAUAAUCCGGAGAAAUCCGGUCUAAUAUCGCAUAAAGCGUUUGCGGGGCAUCCUGCGAGCGCCAAAGGAGUAAUCCGGACAGGGAUGGGCAUGCGGCGCAUUAGCUAGUUGGGGGGGUAACGGCCCACCAAGGCGACGAUGCGUAGGGGUUCUGAGAGGAAGGUCCCCCACAUUGGUACUGAGACACGGACCAAACUCCUACGGGAGGCAGCAGUGAGGAAUAUUGGUCAAUGGGCGGAAGCCUGAACCAGCCAAGUCGCGUGAGGGAAGACGGCCCUAUGGGUUGUAAACCUCUUUUGCCGGGGAGCAAAAGCGCCGUGCGCGGUGCUAUGAGAGUACCCGGAGAAAAAGCAUCGGCUAACUCCGUGCCAGCAGCCGCGGUAAUACGGAGGAUGCGAGCGUUAUCCGGAUUUAUUGGGUUUAAAGGGUGCGUAGGCGGACAGUUAAGUCAGCGGUCAAAACGGGCGGCUCAACCGCCUGCCGCCGUUGAAACUGGCAGUCUAGAGUGGGCGAGAAGUACGCGGAAUGCGCGGUGUAGCGGUGAAAUGCAUAGAUAUUGCGCAGAACUCCGAUUGCGAAGGCAGCGUACCGGCGCCCGACUGACGCUGAGGCACGAAAGCGUGGGGAUCGAACAGGAUUAGAUACCCUGGUAGUCCACGCAGUAAACGAUGGACACUAUCUGUUCGGGUCGAAUGGGAUCUGAGUGGCACAGCGAAAGCGUUAAGUGUCCCACCUGGGGAGUACGCCGGCAACGGUGAAACUCAAAGGAAUUGACGGGGGCCCGCACAAGCAGUGGAGUAUGUGGUUUAAUUCGACGCAACGCGAAGAACCUUACCAGGGCUUGACAUCCUACUAACGAAGUAGAGAUACAUCAGGUGCCCUUCGGGGAAAGUAGAGACAGGUGGUGCAUGGUUGUCGUCAGCUCGUGCCGUGAGGUGUCGGCUUAAGUGCCAUAACGAGCGCAACCCCCAUCCGCAGUUGCCAGCAGGUAAAGCUGGGGACUCUGCGGAGACUGCCGGCGCAAGCUGAGAGGAAGGCGGGGAUGACGUCAAAUCAGCACGGCCCUUACGUCCGGGGCGACACACGUGUUACAAUGGCAGGGACAGAGGGAAGCCACCGGGCGACCGGGCGCGGACCCCGAAACCCUGUCUCAGUUCGGAUCGGAGUCUGCAACUCGACUCCGUGAAGCUGGAUUCGCUAGUAAUCGCGCAUCAGCCAUGGCGCGGUGAAUACGUUCCCGGGCCUUGUACACACCGCCCGUCAAGCCAUGGAAGCCGGGAGUGCCUGAAGUGCGUGACCGCAAGGAGCGCCCUAGGGUAAAACCGGUGACUGGGGCU
rnacentral:rRNA from 1 species